CUCCUCCGCGCACACACGCGCCCGCGUGCCCGCGCCCGCGCCACGCGCCUCACGUCCCGGCCCGACCACGACCGGAGUGGCGGUUCGCAUCUUACCGGGCAGCAUUAGAGUCGUUUCGUUAUUUUCUAAUACUGUCAGGUAAAGAUGUCGUCCGCGCUCCAUAUUCUUCAGGGAAAUUCGGCCCGGCCGCGGAACCGGUCGAGCGACGUCGGUUUAUAUUUACGGAGCUGAGGACGAAGCCGGCGCUGCGUGCAGUUCAGGACGAUUUGUGGCCCAAUUACCCUCAUGUACGGGUUGAUUCUUCUGGUCGGAGUGGUCGCGACGAGCGGCCAGCGGGCAGGUGCGGGAGCGGCCACGUGACGCGGUCGCCGACCCCCGCCCGCGAUAAACUUUAUAAGCUCGCUGCGCGCCACACAUACACAUGUGUUGCCGUGCUGCCGGCGGGUUCCGGCGAUACCGUUACAAUUCUUGCUCGACUGUCCGGGGGGAGAAGCGGGGGACGCCGAUGUGGCAUUCACUAUGAAAAACUUAUCUAUUUUAUUAUAAAGAGGUUUUGUUACUUUAAGUUACCUUCGGGAAUAUUGAAACGCAUGAAAAUUCUUAUCCUCCAGAUUAUCUGCGGGAGUAUUAUUGGCUACGCAUGUCCCUCGGGCGGACCUGUAACGGGCCGCUAGUUUAAUUUUAAGAUGUGUACUUCUCCAGUCAUUAGUUUUAAUUGACAAGCGCUAUCAGAUAAGUGGUCAUUAUUUAUCAUGGCGCAACCACAUAUCGUUAUUUGUAAGAAUAUUAAUAUGUAUAAUUAACACUUUAUCAUUUUCUGCUUAAUAGUGUUAUGAUAAAUGUAAUAUGGCGAUGAUAUGAGCGUGUCCGCGCAGAAGAUAAAUAAUAAUUGUAGUUUGCUUUAAAUAUAAAAAUGUAGCCAAAAGUAAUAAGAUUUUUCAUGUAUUUAUUUUCACAGAAGUAUUUAAAAUCUAAAAACUUGUGGAGAAACAAAUUACAAUAAAACAUCAGAAUUCGAAAAUAUUCAUGAAAUUUUCAUUUUUUGCUACAUCCGUAGUACCUAUUCGUUUAUUUCAGGUGCUUGAUUAUAUAUUCCGUUGUCAGCUUUCGGAAUUCGGGAAUGUGAUCAGUCAGAAUCAGAUGUUUCAAUAUGUACUUAAUUAAAAAUAGGUACUCAAUUAAACUCUCCAUAAAAAUGUUUUGACUGUUGGCUCUGUCUACCCCCGCAAGGGAUAUGGACGUGAUUAUAUGUAUGUAUGUAUGUAUAAAAAUGUUUAAAAGAAACUUGUAAAUUGUAAUGUUUAGUGAAUGACUGGGACAUGAUUAACGGCAUAUAUAUUUUGACUAUUGAUAAGCACCAUUUUGGUACUGAGUGUUGAUUCUUAGUAAGUUUAUUUAUAUUGUCGGCUAAUUUUGUUUCCUGUGCAACGAAUAAUAACGAUGUGUUUUUAAUAAUAAUAAAUAUUGAUUAUUAAAC